GACCUGGUAGCUCAGCUGGUAGAGCAUUUCACUUUUAAUGAAAGGGUCCUGGGUUCGAAUCCCAGCCCGGUCA
rfam:Siansivirga zeaxanthinifaciens CC-SAMT-1, complete genome.